rnacentral:lncRNA from 1 species
AUGCCCAAGUGCCCCAAGUGCGACAAGGAAGUUUACUUCGCCGAGAGGGUGACCUCUCUGGGCAAGGACUUGCCUCGGCCCUGCCUGAAGUGCGAGAAUGUGGGAAGACGCUGACCUCCGAGGGCCACGCUGAGCACGAAAGCAAGCCCUACUGCAACCACUUGCUAUGCCGCCAUGUUUGGGCAAAAAGGCUCUGGCCGGGGUGAAGCCGACAGCCACACUUUCAAG